rnacentral:rRNA from 1 species
UAACGGCUCACCAAGACGACGAUACAUAGGGGGACUGAGAGGUUAACCCCCCACAUUGGUACUGAGACACGGACCAAACUCCUACGGGAGGCAGCAGUGAGGAAUAUUGGUCAAUGGACGCAAGUCUGAACCAGCCAUGCCGCGUGCAGGAAGACGGCUCUAUGAGUUGUAAACUGCUUUUGUACGAGGGUAAACGCAGAUACGUGUAUCUGUCUGAAAGUAUCGUACGAAUAAGGAUCGGCUAACUCCGUGCCAGCAGCCGCGGUAAUACGGAGGAUUCAAGCGUUAUCCGGAUUUAUUGGGUUUAAAGGGUGCGUAGGCGGUCGGAUAAGUUAGAGGUGAAAUCCCGAGGCUCAACUUCGGAAUUGCCUCUGAUACUGCUCGGCUAGAGAGUAGUUGCGGUAGGCGGAAUGUAUGGUGUAGCGGUGAAAUGCUUAGAGAUCAUACAGAACACCGAUUGCGAAGGCAGCUUACCAAGCUACUUCUGACGUUGAGGCACGAAAGCGUGGGGAGCAAACAGGAUUAGAUACCCUGGUAGUCCACGCAGUAAACGAUGAUAACUCGUUGUCGGCGAUACAAUGUCGGUGACUAAGCGAAAGCGAUAAGUUAUCCACCUGGGGAGUACGUUCGCAAGAAUGAAACUCAAAGGAAUUGACGGGGGCCCGCACAAGCGGAGGAACAUGUGGUUUAAUUCGAUGAUACGCGAGGAACCUUACCCGGGCUUGAAAGUUAGUGACAGAUCUGGAAACAGGUCUUCCCUUCGGGGCACGAAACUAGGUGCUGCAUGGUUGUCGUCAGCUCGUGCCGUGAGGUGUCGGGUUAAGUCCCAUAACGAGCGCAACCCCUACCGUCAGUUGCCAGCAGGUCAAGCUGGGCACUCUGGCGGGACUGCCGGUGUAAGCCGAGAGGAAGGUGGGGAUGACGUCAAAUCAGCACGGCCCUUACGUCCGGGGCUACACACGUGUUACAAUGGCAGGUACAGAGGGCAGCUACCCAGCGAUGGGAUGCGAAUCUCGAAAGCCUGUCUCAGUUCGGAUUGGAGGCUGAAACCCGCCUCCAUGAAGUUGGAUUCGCUAGUAAUCGCGCAUCAGCCAUGGCGCGGUGA